CUUUGUUUUUGGCAUCAUCAUUGUACUUUGUGUUCAUGUAGCAAUUUGAGUAUGGGCUAUAGAAUACAUUUUUGUAGUUUUUGCGUGAUUUAGGUAGGCUUAAUGUUUAUUCGAUCUGUUCUCUGCUCUUAUAUCCUAUCCCCUUUGGGCUGAGCAGAAUGAGAAGAGUUAGCAAUUAGCUUGACUUUACUGCUUUGUAGAGCCUUGUAGCUGAUGCUAUGGCAUACUCAGUCAUACUUCCUGACUCUUAAUUUCAUUAUUGGUGAUGGCAAUAACAUGUAUGAUUUCACUUAUGUUGAAAAUGUGGCUCAUUCCCAUUUAUGUGCUGACCGAGCUCUAGCUUCAGAGGGGGAAGUUUCAAAAAAGCUGCAGGAGAGGUACCUUUGAAAGAUUCUCUCAUUACAUUUUUUGGUAUAUAAAUAUUUGUUUAAUUAUGUAAAUGAAGAUUAAACAUGGACAUCUUAGAAGGCGGUGAUGAUGAUCCUGCUCUAUUGUAGAUGGGUUGUUAGUUAUUCACAGGUGUACAUUCUUUAGAAACCACGGUUGCUAACAUGAUGAUGAGUUGAUGAUACAUUUAAGGGUAGAAUUUCUUCUUUUGGGUGAAUGACAGGACCUAGAAAAUAUAUGUUUCAGCAAAUCCUAAUCAAAUACUUAAGCUAAAAUCAGAAAGAUAUACAACAAAAAACCUUAUUCCACUUGGUAGGGUUGAUGAUUGAUGACAAACUUGGAUCAUUUUGAUGCUGCUAUGUUAUGUUUGAUUGGUUGUUU